rfam:Brevundimonas subvibrioides ATCC 15264, complete genome.
GCGUCCUUAGCUCAGUUGGUUAGAGCAUCUGACUUUUAAUCAGAGGGUCCUCGGUUCGAGCCCGAGAGGACGUA